rnacentral:rRNA from 1 species
GCAUAUCAAUAAGCGGAGGAAAAGAAACCAACUGGGAUUGCCUUAGUAACGGCGAGUGAAGCGGCAAUAGCUCAAAUUUGAAAGCUGGCACCUUCGGUGUCCGCGUUGUAAUUUGUAGAGGAUGCUUCGGCGAGGACUCCUGCCUAAGUUCCCUGGAAUGGGACGUCACAGAGGGUGAGAAUCCCGUAUGUGGCGGGCGGUCCAAGCCAUGUGAAGCUCCUUCGACGAGUCGAGUUGUUUGGGAAUGCAGCUCUAAAUGGGAGGUAAAUUUCUUCUAAAGCUAAAUACCGGCCAGAGACCGAUAGCGCACAAGUAGAGUGAUCGAAAGAUGAAAAGCACUUUGGAAAGAGAGUUAAAAAGUACGUGAAAUUGUUGAAAGGGAAGCGCUUGCAACCAGACUCGCUCGCAGUUGCUCAGCCCGCCUCUUGGUGGGUGUACUCUUCUGCGAUCGGGCCAGCAUCAGUUCGGGCGGCUGGAUAAAGGUGUCGGGAAUGUAGCACCCUUCGGGGUGUGUUAUAGCCCGGCGCGGAAUGCAGCCAGCCUGGACUGAGGAUCUCGCUUCGGCAAGGAUGCUGGCGUAAUGGUUGUAAGCGGCCCGUCUUGAAACACGGACCAAGGAGUCUAACAUCUAUGCGAGUGUUUGGGUGUCAAACCCAUGCGCGUAAUGAAAGUGAACGGAGGUGGGAACCCGUAAGGGCGCACCAUCGACCGAUCCUGAUGUCUUCGGAUGGAUUUGAGUAAGAGCAUAGCUGUUGGGACCCGAAAGAUGGUGAACUAUGCCUGAAUAGGGUGAAGCCAGAGGAAACUCUGGUGGAGGCUCGCAGCGGUUCUGACGUGCAAAUCGAUCGUCAAAUUUGGGUAUAGGGGCGAAAGACUAAUCGAACCAUCUAGUAGCUGGUUCCUGCCG